CCUACGGGAGGCAGCAGUGGGGAAUCUUGGGCACUGGGCGCAAGCCUGACCCAGCAACGCCGCGUGAAGGAAGAAGGCCCUCGGGUUGUAACCUUCUUUUGUCAGGGACGAAACACAUGACGGUACCUGACGAAUAAGCCACGGCUAACUACGUGCCAGCAGCCGCGGUAAUACGUAGGUGGCAAGCGUUAUCCGGAUUUACUGGGUGUAAAGGGCGUGUAGGCGGGAGAGCAAGUCAGAUGUGAAAUUCCAGGGCUCAACCCUGGAACUGCAUUUGAAACUGUUUUUCUUGAGUGAUGGAGAGGCAGGCGGAAUGCCGGGUGUAGCGGUGAAAUGCGUAGAUAUACGGAGGAACACCAGUGGCGAAGGCGGCCUGCUGGACAUUAACUGACGCUGAGGCGCGAAAGCGUGGGGAGCAAACAGGAUUAGAUACCCGAGUAGUC
rnacentral:rRNA from 1 species